rnacentral:rRNA from 1 species
UACGUAGGGACCAAGCGUUGUUCGGAUUUACUGGGCGUAAAGGGCGCGUAGGCGGCGCGGUAAGUCACUUGUGAAAUCUCUGAGCUUAACUCAGAACGGCCAAGUGAUACUGCAGUGCUAGAGUGUGGAAGGGGCAAUCGGAAUUCUUGGUGUAGCGGUGAAAUGCGUAGAUAUCAGGAGGAACACCGGUGGUGUAGACGGCUCUCUGGACCGUAACUGACGCUGAGACACGGAAAGCGUGGGUAGGCAAACAGG